GAAAAGUAUUAAAAUAAAUUAUAUACAAUAAUAAAACUAAUCAAGUCCAAACACUUUAAGUGCACCAAAUGCAGUCCUAGAUAUAACAUUAUUUCUAUGAUCAUUAAUCUUCCUUGUUUUAUAUCUCUGUUUUGUCUAGGAGAAAUUUCCAUGGAACAGGCAACUCUUGUAAGGGAUGUUCAUUCAAAAGUUUUUCUUUUUUCCCUUUGGUAUAUAUCCCCAUGGUCUCAGCCAAUGUUGGAUGUUUUUCCUUUCUUAAGGUUCGUAUCACCUCAGCCUCUUGCCAGUUCACUUGCAAAUUGUUCUCAUAUACUGAUGCUGCUAAAACUGUGUUCAUUUUUCCUUUAACAACGCUCCUUUUGUGUUCUUUUAAUUUUUAGUCCAAUGUUCUUGCUGUUACUCCUAUGUAAGUCUCGUUCUUAUGGGUUUUAUUUACAAGAGUGGCGCUUUUGGCUAUUGCCAUCAUCAGCUCUCAUAGUACAUCAAAAUUUGCUCUUAUUGGAAUUUACAACUUCUAUCAGAGCAUUAAAGAUUUGUUCCAAAGUUCUAGAAGAUAAAAUUUUAAAUUUAAAUUUACAAAAAUGUGCGAGUAUCUUAUGGUAAACAAUAAAAUAUGAGUAAUAUACACACUAUUUAUAUUUUUAGAGUCUCUAUUUCAAGAGGUACCUCCAUGAGAGCUGAUGAUGACGAUAGCCGAAAGUGCUAUUCUCAUAAAUAAAAUUAUAUUGAUUAGUUUGAGUGAAACUGGGACUGCUUAAUAGUGCUGGAAGUUAGCAUAACCUUAAAGUUU
rnacentral:lncRNA from 1 species